GCAGUAGGGAAUCUUCCACAAUGGGCGCAAGCCUGAUGGAGCAACACCGCGUGAGUGAAGAAGGGUUUCGGCUCGUAAAGCUCUGUUGUUAAAGAAGAACACGUAUGAGAGUAACUGUUCAUACGUUGACGGUAUUUAACCAGAAAGUCACGGCUAACUACGUGCCAGCAGCCGCGGUAAUACGUAGGUGGCAAGCGUUAUCCGGAUUUAUUGGGCGUAAAGAGAGUGCAGGCGGUUUUCUAAGUCUGAUGUGAAAGCCUUCGGCUUAACCGGAGAAGUGCAUCGGAAACUGGAUAACUUGAGUGCAGAAGAGGGUAGUGGAACUCCAUGUGUAGCGGUGGAAUGCGUAGAUAUAUGGAAGAACACCAGUGGCGAAGGCGGCUACCUGGUCUGCAACUGACGCUGAGACUCGAAAGCAUGGGUAGCGAACAGGAUUAGAUACCCUGGUAGUCCAUGCCGUAAACGAUGAGUGCUAGGUGUUGGAGGGUUUCCGCCCUUCAGUGCCGGAGCUAACGCAUUAAGCACUCCGCCUGGGGAGUACGACCGCAAGGUUGAAACUCAAAGGAAUUGACGGGGGCCCGCACAAGCGGUGGAGCAUGUGGUUUAAUUCGAAGCUACGCGAAGAACCUUACCAGGUCUUGACAUCUUGCGCCAACCCUAGAGAUAGGGCGUUUCCUUCGGGAACGCAAUGACAGGUGGUGCAUGGUCGUCGUCAGCUCGUGUCGUGAGAUGUUGGGUUAAGUCCCGCAACGAGCGCAACCCUUGUUACUAGUUGCCAGCAUUAAGUUGGGCACUCUAGUGAGACUGCCGGUGACAAACCGGAGGAAGGUGGGGACGACGUCAGAUCAUCAUGCCCCUUAUGACCUGGGCUACACACGUGCUACAAUGGACGGUACAACGAGUCGCGAACUCGCGAGGGCAAGCAAAUCUCUUAAAACCGUUCUCAGUUCGGACUGCAGGCUGCAACUCGCCUGCACGAAGUCGGAAUCGCUAGUAAUCGCGGAUCAGCAUGCCGCGGUGAAUACGUUCCCGGGCCUUGUACACACCGCCCGUCACACCAUGAGAGUUUGUAACACCCAAAGUCGGUG
rnacentral:rRNA from 2 species